GCCCGUGAAUGGCAAAUCAUAAUAUCCGUGAUCUUAUCCAUAGUGGCAAACCAUACUAGCCUCAAUCCCAUCCAUGGUGGUAAACCAUACUAGCUACACUUCCACCCAUGGUGGCAAACCAUACUAGCCGCACUUCAGCCCAUAGUGGCAAUCUUAGAAUAUCCACGAUUCAGCCCACGAUGACAAACCAUACUAGCACGCUCCAGUCCAUGGUGGCAAUAUCAAGUACCACAUUCCUAUCUAUAGCAGGGCUAUUCUUAGUUUGAUAUGGCUAGUCCAAAUAUUUC
rnacentral:lncRNA from 1 species